rnacentral:rRNA from 1 species
GUUAAAAAGCUCGUAGUUGGAUUUCUGUGGGUUCUCCGGUCCACCCAUUGGGCGAGUUACUGCUAUUUGGGACAUCUUUCUGAGGACGUGUUCUUCGCUUAAUUGUGAGGGCGCAGGACUCAGAACAUUUACUUUGAGGAAAUGAGAGUGUUUCAAGCAGGCAAAUGCCUUGAAUACGUUAGCAUGGAAUAAUAGCAUCGGACCAUCGUCCAGCUGUUGGUGUCUGGGCGAAGGUAAAGGUGAAUAGGGAUUGUUGGGGGCAUUCGUAUUUAACUGUCAGAGGCGAAAUUUUUGGAUUUAUUGAAGACGGACCACUGCGAAAGCCUCUGCCAAAGAUGUUCUCAUUGAUCAAGAACGGAAGUUAGGUGAUCAAAGACUAUCAGAUACCGUCCUACUCUUAACCAUAAACUAUGCAGACGAGGGAUAUGAAUCGUUUCUCUUCCGCCUCUUUAUGAAUAUAAAAAGAAAUCAAAGUCUGGGGGUUCCGGGGGGACUAUGGCCGCAAGGAUGAAAUUUAGGGGAUUUCCCCCGAGGGGCCCCCCCAGCCGUUGACUUUGCCGCCUAAUCACACAUCAUCCCGGGAGAAACUUAACAGGGACAGACAUAAGUAAUAUCUCCUUGCUCAUACCUCCUUGAUGAUUCUGCGGGUGCUGGUGCACGUCUUACUUGGUUGAGUGAUUGAUCUGACCAACUACACCCCCU